AACAUCGCGCACCUGCGGGAACCUGCGGAGGGAUCGUUACAGAGUUGCAAAACUCCCUAAACCAUUGUGAACGUUACCUAAACCGUUGCUUCGGCGGGCGGCCCGGGUCCUUCCCGGCGCCCCUCGGCCCUCGCGGGCGCCCGCCGGAGGUAAACCAAACUAUUGCAUUGUAUGGCCUCUCUGAGUCUUCUGUACUGAAUAAGUCAAAACUUUCAGCAACGGAUCUCAGAUCGGAAGAGC
rnacentral:misc_RNA from 1 species